rnacentral:lncRNA from 1 species
AAACAAUGCUUUAUGAUUGUGCUUUGUGGAGUCUUCAAGGAUUCUGUGAAGGAAUUGCCAUCAUUCAGGAUUCCAAGCAUAGCCAACUUUCCUUCAACCACAGAGGAGAUUGUGUGCAAGGGGCUUUAUUUCCUCAAUCAGUCAAGUUGGAGGCUGUAAUUUACUGAAUGUUUCCUGCUAGAACUACCCUCCUCUAAUUUUUGUGCCUCUUCCACUAGCCAGUCACCUGAGUAAGCUAGGUAUUUGUUUCUUUUAUUGUUACAUUGCUGUAGAUUUCUC